AGAGAGUCAAAAAGACCGCGAAACCGUUGGGAGGGAAACGAAUGCGGCUGAAGUGGCUCCCUGUCAGGCUCAGGAGACGUCGGGGUGGUCUCGCCUGGGCGCGGUUGCUUCCGCGUCUGUGGCCGGGCGCUCGCCGACCGAUCUGCACUUCUGCGGGGAGCCGGCCAACGGCAGUUGCUUCCGGGCCAAGAGGGCGUCGUGGGUAGGUGGCCUCCGCUUCGUGCGUGUGGAACUUAUAGCCCGGCGUCUGGUUCCCGGGAUGCGACUGAGGAGAGCUUUGCGAGUUUUUCGCACGAGCAGCGCAGGCCAUUCAUGGGCUGGGCCGCUCUCGGCCGGGCGGUCGGCCGCGGGGGUUACUGCGUGCAGUGGCCCGUCGACGGAACCGUGCUGUCGGAAGGGAGGUCGGUCGCACCUUGCGCUGCGGGUCGUUGGUGCCCGAAUGGCCGCAUCC
rnacentral:rRNA from 1 species